CGGAGGAUCCAAGCGUUAUCCGGAAUCAUUGGGUUUAAAGGGUCCGUAGGCGGUUUAGUAAGUCAGUGGUGAAAGCCCAUCGCUCAACGGUGGAACGGCCAUUGAUACUGCUAGACUUGAAUUAUUAGGAAGUAACUAGAAUAUGUAGUGUAGCGGUGAAAUGCUUAGAGAUUACAUGGAAUACCAAUUGCGAAGGCAGGUUACUACUAAUGGAUUGACGCUGAUGGACGAAAGCGUGGGUAGCGAACAGGAUUAGAUACCCUGGUAGUCCACGCCGUAAACGAUGGAUACUAGCUGUUGGGAGCGAUCUCAGUGGCUAAGCGAAAGUGAUGAGUAUCCCACCUGGGGAGUACGUUCGCAAGAAUG
rnacentral:rRNA from 1 species